AUAGAAUGUCAUAUUCAGUGUAGAAUAGAUAGAGUUUCUUUGUUUGUUUGUUUACCAUAUUUACUAUCACUUACAUUUGAUAACUUCCACAUUCUGUUGGAUCGCUUUUCUUUGGAAUGGAUACAAACGUGCAUCUCUUGCAGUCUGUUGGCCAGGUAGCUAGCUUCCAAAUUUCUUUGCAUAGUGGAGUGGGCAUGAACAGUGCUGCAUCUGUUCGUUGAACCAACUCAGUGGGUAUUCUGUCAGCUCCUGGAGCCUUGUUUUUCACCAGUGCCUUCAGUGUAGCUUGGACUUCUUGCUUCACUACUACCAGUUCUUGAUCAUAUGCCACCUCAUGAAAUGACUGAAAGUUGACCAUUUCUUUUGGUACUGUGACUCUGUGUAUUCUUUCCAUCUUUUGUGUGUGUGCUUUAAGUGAAACUUUACAAAUCAAGUCAGUCUCUCAUACAAAAAUUAGUAUACAGCUUGCUAUGUACUCCUAGUUCCUCUCCCACUAAUGAGACAGCACACUCCUUCUCUCAGCCCUGUAUUCCCCAUGUCCAUUCAGCCACUUUCUGUCCCCCUCUGCCUUCUCAUCUCCCCUCCAAACGGGAGCUGCCCACAUAGUCUCAUGUGUCCACUUGAGACCAGAAGGUCACUCCUCACCACUAUCAUUUUCCAUGCUAUAAUCCAGUCCAAUCCCUGUCUGAAGAGUUGGCUUUGGGAAUAGUUCCAGUCUUGGGCCAACAGAAGGUCUGGGGAUCGUGACCUCUAGGGUUCCUCUAGUCUCAGUCAGAUCAUUAAGUCUGAUUUUUUUAUGGGACUUUGAGGUCUGCAUCUCACUGCUCUCGUGCUCCGUCAGGGAUACUCUGUUUCGUUCCCUGUCGUAGCAGUCUUCAGUUGUAGACGGGCACCAUCUAGUUCUUCUGGUCUCAGGCUGAUGUAGUCUUGGAUUUACGUGGCCAUUUCUGUCUUUUGGACUCAUAAUUACCUUGUAUCUUUGGUGUUCUUCAUUCUCCUUUGCUCCAGGUGGGUUGAGACCAAUUGAUGCAUCUUAGAUGGCCGCUUGAUAGUGUUUUUAAGACUGCAGAUGCCACUCACCAAAGUGGGAUGCAGAAUGUUUUCUUAAUAGAUUUUAUUAUGCCAAUUGACCUAGAUGUCCCCUGAAAACAUGGUCCCCCUACUGCUGCCCCUGCUACUCUGACCUUUGGAGCUUUUGGUUUAUUCAGGAAACUGCUUUUGGUUUAGUCCAGUUAUGCUGACCUCUCCUUUAUUGUAUGAUGUCUUUCCCUUCACCUAAAAUAGUUCUUGUCUACUAUCUCAUUUGCGAAUAUCCUUCUCCCUCCCUUUCUCCCCACCCUCAUAACCAUCAAAGAAUAUUUUCUUCUCUGUUUAAACUAUUUCUUGAGUUCUUAUAAUAGUGGUCUCAUACAAUAUUCGUCCUUUUGCAACUGACUAAUUUCACUCAGCAUAAUGCCCUCCAGAUUCCUCCAAGCUAUGAAAUAUUUCACGGAUUCAUCAUUGUUCUUGAUCUAUGUGAAGUAUUCUAUCGUGUGAAUGUACCACAAUUUAUUUAUCCAUUCAUCUGUUGGUGGGCACCUUGGUUACUUCCAUCUUUCUCCUAUUGUAAACAGUGCUGCAAUGAACAUGGUUGUGCAUAUAUCUGUUCAUAUAAAGGCUCUUAUUUCUCUAAGAUAUAUUCCAAGGAGUGGGAUUGCCAUAUGCUAUGGUAGUUCUAUUUCUAGCUUUUUAAGGAAGUGCCAGAUUGAUUUCCAAAGUGGCUGCACCAUUUUAAACUCCCACCAGCAGUGAAUAAGUGUUCCAGUCUCUCUACAACCUCUCGAACAUUUAUUAUUUUGUGAUUUGGGAUUAAUGGCAGCCUUGUUGGAGUGAGAUGGUAUCUCAUUGUAGUUUUGAUUUACAUUUCUCUAACGGCUAAUGAUUAUGAGCAUUUCCUCAUGUAUCUGUUACCUGCCUGAAUGUCUUCUUCGUUGAAGUGCCUAUUCCUAUCCUUUGCCCAUUUUUAAAAUGGAUUAUUUGUCUUUUUGUUAUUGAGUUUUUGCAAUAUCAUGUAGAUUUUAGAGAUCAGAUGCUGAUCGGAAAUGUUAUAGCUCAAAACUGUUUCCCAGGCUGUAGGCAAUCAGUUUACUCUCCUGGUGAAGACUUUGGAUGAGCAUAAGUGUUUGAUUUUUAGGAGUUACCUAAUUUCUCUUUGGGUACUUGUACAUUGUUAGUAAUGUUUUUUGUUACAAUCCCACCCUAAUCCUCUUUAACAUAAAAUUACAAUCACAAAAUGGAGGACAACUACAGAACACUGGGAAUCAUGGCCUAACCAACUUGGUACACACAUUUUUCGGGGGGGACAUAAUACAAUCCAUGACAUCCACCUUUUAGUAUAUUUUGGGGACUGGCUCUUUUAGUCAGAAACAGGUUGAAUAAAAGUGCUUACUUACCAGCAGUUUCCCGACAGUGUUGGUGACGGAUCCCCAGUUGGAUACACACAAUCACACUGACUGCAUUUGCGGUGCCUCAGCAAGUCCCACUUGCCUUCGUAACACUGAUCUCUAGAACAAAACACAGCUCUGUAAGCAAGUCAGUUAAAAAUAAAGGCAUUGGAUAUUGAACAUCACUAAAGACAUAAGUGCAUAUUGGUUCUGUGUUGGUUGCCAGAAUCUAAUUCUCUUAAUUAAUUCAUAUUUUUUGUAGAUAUUUUUCUUGCUCCAUAUACCCAGAGUUCUGUGUACAUAUAAUGAACAUUCUACACGUAGGUUUCUCACAAAUAUUACCCAAUGUCAUUCAUUUUUUUGACCAUUCACUCAAUGUUCAAGAAUAAAUUGAAGUAUAGGAAAUAUUCUUAUGGUUAUUUAACUCUAAGGAUGAAGAAAUUGCAUAGCGGGUCUUGGCUCCCUUUAGAAAUUCUCUGCCUGAUGCAGUUCCACACAGCAACACGGACCUUCAUCUCAGCACAGGAAGAAAGACAGCUUUGUCUCAAUAUCUGCCACUGCUCUUCACCUUCUACUAAGGAAACUCAGGAAUCAAAUAUUUUAUACUGUCCAGCAAUGCUUACACUGUAAGUAUAAAGUGGGAGCCAUUAUAACGUUAAGGGAAAUAUCAUUGAUACAAUGUUGGCUUUUUAAUUAGGCAGAUUUGUCUUUGUAAUCCCACUCUGCCCUUAAUUGGCUGAUGACUUUAAGUAUGCUUCUUUACUUUCCGUAGCCUUGAUUUACUCACCCACAGAAUGGGACGAUGACCUUCAUCUGGAAAGAAUAUACAUAUAUACAUAUAUACAGACGUAUGAAGCUUACUUCUGACAAUACUAACAAAUACUGCUAUUUUUUUUUUUUUUGCCUUCUUUACUCCAAGCUUCUAGACGGUUUACUCAGUUACAUUUCCUUCCUUCCUUUCUUCUUUCUUUCUAUGCUGCCUCUUUUUUUUUCCCUUUCAGUUUUAUUGUGAAUUCAUAAACGCUAGGUUGAAUUUCAGUGUUUAUAUGCUAUUGGGGGUAUGCAUAUAAGUAAGCAAAUUUAGCUUCCUGAAAUUGAAAUGUAGGUAAUUCCUGCACUGUCUGCCUCACAUGACAUGCGAAAGUUAUUUAAAAUAGUAAGAAAAUAUAAAUAUGUUACUUAUUAUCUAUUGAAUCCAUACAUCAGGCUAGAUAAUUUAACUGUCAUGUUGAAGUGAUAAAUUUAUAAAUAUAGAUAUUAAUAUUUUGUUAUUAAUGUAAGAAGAGUAAGUUAGACACCUAAUAUGAAGAGCAGGUAAGGAUUUCAAAAGGAUUGGUUCUCAGAAGAGUAGGACUAGAACAGUAAUAAACAAAAGGUAAAAUAUGUUCGUAGCAGGAACAUACAGAAGGUUGCUUCUACAAUGGUGUUUAAAAUAGAAUAAUGUAUAUUUGAUUAGACAAUCAUUUAUGGGAAUAAAAAGAUUAAGAAAAUUUAUCCUUACCUGCAAAAUCUUAGAACCGAAAAACCAAACCAAACCCAGUGCCGUCGAGUCGACUCCACUCCUACUCAUGGCGACCCUAUAGGACAGAGUAGAACUGCCCCAUAGAGUUUCCAAGGAGCGCCUGGAGGAUUCAAACUGCUGACCCUUUGGUUAGCAGCUGUAGCACUUAACCACUAUGCCACCAGGGUUUCCACAAAAUCUUAGAAGCAGCAACAUAUUCAUCAUAUUUCAUCCAGAACAUUCCUGAUGUCCUGCAGUCAUGCAUUUAAAGUCAUUUUUGCAGAAACAUUCAUUUUUAUAGCUACUUACCUUCCUGGUGAUUACAUCAUUGGCUCAUAAAGACGAGAAAAAGAACCAAAUGCAAUUUGGCUGUCUUGACUGGGUCCCAAAGAAGACUAUUAAGUUAAACAAAUGAAUAGAAACAUCUUAAAUAAGCAAUAUCUUCUAUGUGCAACUGCUUGUGUGUGGCACCAGGAAAAUAAACACUAAUCAAGGUAAUUUUAAUUCCCAGUGAAAUGAAACAUCAUAUGGAAACAUGGGGAUUUUACUCUCCCUUGAUAAUUAUAUCAUCUAGAAUCAUCUCAUGUGAGAUUUUUAUCAUAAAGGAAGGGUCCAUGGAAAGGAAAUGCCUGACUGGAGCCCGCUGUGGAUUAUUCUUAAUUGCCUCUCCACUCUCACAUUCCCAAAAGGAAGGAGGAUAUCAGGGCUUAAUAUGACUCAAGUACAGCAUGAAAAAAUGGAAUAUGUUUGCAAAUGUCAACACAACUAUUUGUAAAAUAAUUAGAUAUUUAUUAAAUCAUUUUGUGAGAAAUGAAGUGGCUCUGAUCAGACUUAAAUAAAUGGGUUGACUAAUUUUUUUUUUGUUGUUAAUAUUUGAAUGUACCAUGCAACUAGGUUGAUGGAAGUUGUAUAUAAAAGUUAUCCAAAUCACUCAGUAGGAUCAUUUCAAAGAAUCUGAAAAAAGUUAGGAAAAUAAAUUUGAAAUACUGUGGCACUAUGAGUCAACCAGAAUUACAGAGCGUUCAGUAAACUGGAGUAAAAAAAGAACUGAAGGUAUCAUUUUCAAGUCGAUUGUUGUUAGGUGCCAUCAAGUCUGUUCUGACUCAUAGCCAAACUAUGUAUCACAGAACAAAACACUGCCUGGUCCUGUGCCAUUCUUACAAUCGUUACUAUGCUUGAGCCCAUUGUCGCACCCACUGUGUCAGUCUCUCUCUUUGAGGGUCUUCCUUUUUUUCCACUGAUCCUGUACUGUACCAAGCAUGAUGUCCUUCUCCAGGAACUGAUCUUUCCUGACAACAUGUCCAAAGUAUGUAAGACACAGUCUCGCCAUCCUUGCUUCUAAGGAGCAUUCUGGUUGUACUUCUUCCAAGACAGAUUUGUUCCUUCUCUUGGCAGUGCAUUCAAUAUU